AGUCGAACGGAAAGGCCCAGCUUGCUGGGUGCUCGAGUGGCGAACGGGUGAGUAACACGUGGGUGAUCUGCCUCUAACUUCGGGAUAAGCUUGGGAAACUGGGUCUAAUACCGGAUAGGACAAUCGUUUAGUGUCGGUUGUGGAAAGUUUUUUCGGUUAGGGAUGAGCCCGCGGCCUAUCAGCUUGUUGGUGGGGUAAUGGCCUACCAAGGCGUCGACGGGUAGCCGGCCUGAGAGGGUGGACGGCCACAUUGGGACUGAGAUACGGCCCAGACUCCUACGGGAGGCAGCAGUGGGGAAUAUUGCACAAUGGGCGCAAGCCUGAUGCAGCGACGCCGCGUGGGGGAUGACGGCCUUCGGGUUGUAAACCUCUUUCGACAGGGACGAAGCUUUGGUGACGGUACCUGUAUAAGAAGCACCGGCUAACUACGUGCCAGCAGCCGCGGUAAUACGUAGGGUGCGAGCGUUGUCCGGAAUUACUGGGCGUAAAGAGCUCGUAGGUGGUUUGUCGCGUCGUCUGUGAAAUUCCGGGGCUUAACUUCGGGCGUGCAGGCGAUACGGGCAUAACUUGAGUGCUGUAGGGGAGACUGGAAUUCCUGGUGUAGCGGUGGAAUGCGCAGAUAUCAGGAGGAACACCGAUGGCGAAGGCAGGUCUCUGGGCAGUAACUGACGCUGAGGAGCGAAAGCAUGGGGAGCGAAUAGGAUUAGAUACCCUGGUAGUCCAUGCCGUAAACGGUGGGCGCUAGGUGUAGGGGUCUUCCACGACUUCUGUGCCGUAGCUAACGCAUUAAGCGCCCCGCCUGGGGAGUACGGCCGCAAGGCUAAAACUCAAAGGAAUUGACGGGGGCCCGCACAAGCGGCGGAGCAUGUGGAUUAAUUCGAUGCAACGCGAAGAACCUUACCUGGGCUUGACAUAUACAGGACUGGGGCCA
rnacentral:rRNA from 1 species